GGUUCAUGUUGCUGCUCGCCCCUUUUGACUGUCUCCUGCUGCUUCUACUUUUUCCUCCUUCCUCUCCGAUCACCCACCAUAUUCUGUGACGAGGAAGCGCUAGCUUGCUGUCCUCUCAUCGGCAAGGCAAACGUAGAACAUGCCGGGCCAGCAGCAGGCGUGUUGGCAGCGCUGGCACAACAACUGCUACGUACUGUAGGAUGCGCCCUCUCUAUGCAACGUCGUCGUCGUCGACUCGCGAGCUCCUCUGCCUCUCUCUCAUCACACUCACACCGUACGUCCGUACGUAUACCUACGUCUUCUGCACUUUGCCUUUCUUUUUUGUGUGCCCUAGCUACAUGCUUCUUGCUUUGCUCUUUCUUGCCUUCGCGUUCUUUGGCUGGCGGCGGCUCACGUACGUCGUCGUCAACAACAAGUAUUUGCAUGGAUGGGGUGGCGGGCCUUACAUCAAAUCUUUCACUGUCCAACAGGCUCCUACUAGCGUACCAACGCAAGGCCCUGCGCCACCUGCUGCUGCGAACCUCCACCACAACACCCACUCGCCGUUCAAAUUUAUAAUUCGUUUUUUGACUUUUUCAGGUCAAGUUUGACUGGUUUAUUUUAUUUUAAAAGUUUAUAGUUUUUAUUAAUUUUUACAGUGAUAUCGUCAACCAUAUAAUAUGCUUUACGUACGACUUUGAAUUUCAGUUUUUCACAAAAAAAAAAUUGUAAUAAGAUGAGUCGGUCAAAAUUUGGACAAAAAUGUCAUAUGAAUUAGAAAUUGGAACG
rnacentral:lncRNA from 1 species